rnacentral:rRNA from 1 species
CCUACGGGACGCAGCAGUAGGGAAUCUUCCACAAUGGACGAAAGUCUGAUGGAGCAACGCCGCGUGAAGGAAGAAGGCUUUCGGGUUGUAAACUUCUUUUAAGAGGGAAGAGCAGAAGACGGUACCUCUUGAAUAAGCCACGGCUAACUACGUGCCAGCAGCCGCGGUAAUACGUAGGUGGCAAGCGUUGUCCGGCUUUACUGGGUGUAAAGGUCGUGCAGCCGGGAGUGCAAGUCAGAUGUGAAAUCCCGCGGCUCAACCGCGUAACUGCAUUUGACACUGUGCUUCUUGAGUGCUGGA